GUGCGCGCUCCCUCCUUCCCCUCCUCCCUCGGAAACAACGAGCCAAAGUCCACCCUGGCCGAGCGGCGCCUCCGAGAGCAUCGCUGUGGCGGGGCGCGGGGCCGGGCAGCCACCAGCUUUCAGGUUGAAAAGCACCCUUGGUCAGGCUGAGAAAGCGUCUGCAGCUGGUGUGUGCGUGCUCUUCCUGGAUGGAAGGAGUAGUAAAGCGCCGUGAGAGUGCGAAUUAAAUGCAUACGUGGAUGCUUGGAUCCAGGGAAACAAGGCAGAACGCUAGCAAGUGAGAUGGGACCAGCGUUUCUAAGAAAAAAAAACUUUUUGUUUUGUUUUGUUUUGUUCUUGGCUCCAGGCUGUAGCUUUCCCUCCACUUCCAAGCCCCGGAGAGAGAAGCAGGGCUGGAUGGGACCCCCCCCCAGAGUCUAAUCUCCCUGGCUGAGGGAGGCUCAGCCCUAUCCAGACCACCUCAAACAAACCAUCUCAACUCAACUCACCCCUCUUUCUUGGAUUUAAAAAGCAAGCAACCUGGUUCCAAAAGCAGGGGGGGGGGGAGGAGCGGGGCUCUGUUGGCAGCCAUAUGAGAAGGGCAUGGUUUUCAACAGGUGGUUUUCAGCCUGCGGUCCAUAGACCCCUGGGGUUGGCAGGCUGUGUCUGCGGGGUCCAUGAAAGAUGACGGUAAUGGAUCAAAAGUAUGCAGAUCCCCCCACACUUACCAGUCAGAGGGGUCAGCGAGAUUUUUUAGGGGUCCACAAAUGAAGAAAGAUUGAAAACCACUGUCCUAGCUCAUAACUUCCCUUUGUAUAGUCCCCCAAACUAAGACUAGACUUCAUCCUACCUACCCACCCAGAGUCACUGCCAGCAGGCCUUGGGAAGUGUGACUUGAAAAGGAAGCUGUGGGCUAGGAGGAUGCAUAGCCUCCUCAUCUAGUAGCCAAUAGGCCACUGCUAGUGUCUUUUUUUUUUUCUUUUUACUUUGGUAGUAGUUUGCUUUCUUUUUAAAGCAAAAAAAGAGGGUGCAGUCUUGUGUUGAAUUUAGAGGUGCAGACAGAAUUGACAGUUUUCACCCAAUGUGGCCUCUGAAAAUGCUCUACAGCCAUGACCAAACAGAAGUGCACAGCUGCAGAGCACUUUAAAAGGACCCAAUUCUGUGAAAAUCUGAACCUUCAUUGCAAGAGGGUUCAGAUGAAGAUACACCAAAACAGAGCAGCUUCAGUAAUUUCUGUCUGCACCAUAGAUGAUGGUUGUAUGGGAUGGUUUGGGUAGGGAGGAUCCUGCCUCAGGCAAGAGGUUGGACUCACUAUGACUUUUUUUUUAAUUUGGGAGUUAGUGAGAUCAACACUGCAGGCUGUUCCUUUUCGGAAUGAAUCCGGCCUGUGGUUCAGCCCUCAAAACUCACUGAACAUCCUAUUUCAAAAUCACAAUUGAAAGGGAGAAUUACUGCCUUUGCACAAUGUAACUGACUGCUGUAAUUCAUAGCUGCACAUAGGUACAGGCCAACAUUUUGGUUCCUUGCCUUCCUGUUACAAGUCAGAUGUGUAAGCAAAUGAAAACCAAAUUAAAUGCAUCAGAAAUGAGAGAAAUCACCAUGAGAGUAACAGGCCUGUGCCUCAUACCCAACGAAAGUUAAGCAUCAGAAAAUUGCCAGGAUCAGUUGUUGCAUAAAACAGGCCCAAGGUAUGGCUUGGCUCUUUUCACAAAUGAAAAAAAUAGAGUUGAAAUGAGAAAUAUUUUUAAAGAUUUGAAAGUGAUGCAGAGGGAUAUUUUUUGGGAGGGGAGGUGAUUUCCCUGGAAAGACAGGAAAAGCUGAGAGAGGUCUUACAGAGGCCAGCAAUAAGACAUAAAACAAGUCACAAGCCUCUAGACUUGAACCUGAACAGAAAAAAAAGAGAUGGUUGAAGAAAAAACAGACAAGAAUGACUGUACAGAGUGUCACAAAAAUUAGAGGAGGAACCAGUUUACUCUUUCAGGAAGUGGUUAUCUACUACAUUUCUUAAACUGAGAUCAGUAAAGCUAUGGGGUUUUUUAAAUAUUUUUCUUCAAAUAACCAACUUUAUUUUUGCUAAAAAUUAUAGGAUGUAAGCAGCAUUUUAAAAGAGUUACUGUAAAACAAAUCAAAGAUUGGCUUGAAGAUGAGCUUUUUAUAUCCAUUUACUGAAAUACAGCAUCCUAUUCCACAUAUGAAAACCAUUUUGAUAGGAAAGGCAGGCAAGUCUGGGAUGAAAUCUUCUGACAAGCAGCCUUACACACAUGAGAUAUUAUUAUUAUAUAAAAUUCCCUACUGUGUAAUUCUUUCCUGUAAAGCUUUUCAAAAUUGUGGGUCAAGCAACAUGUGCUGAGGUAUGUACCUGCUUCAACAAAAAUUAAGUGCGUUUGAAUAAGCACUUCUCCCAAACUCCAGAUCAAAUGCCUGCAAUUGUGUGAAAAGAGUUCUGGCAGCAUCAGACUUACAAGAGUGAUAUGCACUGUCAUAUAAUCAGAACCUCAACAUGAAACGAAACCUUUAAUUUAUGCCCAUUUGGGACAGUGAGUUCUGCCCCAAGUCACACAAGUUCUAUUCAAUAUGAUCAAAAUGUAGCAUGGUAUAUGCCUACUAAGUAUUGUUACUGAGAAACUUGUUAAGGCUGAGUUAAGUUUGCCUAUAGACAUGAAAUCAGAAAGUCUUGUAAAACGAUAAUCACUUACCUCAAAGAAAGAAACCCGAGAAAGUAUGAUUAUUCUAACAUAAGGCUCAUGUUUUACAAACUCAAACACUAGAAAUCAUGUCAAACAAAAAAUACCGUAAGCCCCCUUACCUUUGCCCCAGUACUCCCACCACCAAGCAUCCUAUCCAGCUCUACUUGACCUGUGUCUAAUACCUCAGUCUUAGUUCUCUUUAAUUGUGUAUUCCUUGGCGCCAGAUACCAAAUUGAAAAGAAAUAAUGCAUUUCAAGUUGGACUUUCAAAAUAAUCUACAUCCACAUUAGGGGUUGUCUGAUUAUGUUGUACAGAUUGCAAACCUAUAUAAUGUAAUUGAUAAAAAAAAAAAAAUCAUGCACAGACAAAGCCCAAGUGUUUAUAAUGUAAGGCCUUGUUCACACCCGCUUUUACAUGGGUUUUGUUCAACCGGGUUAAACUGGCAGAUUCCGACAUAGAUUCUCUUCUAUUGGUUGUGACAAUAUACCAUAAAUGUAACUCACCUAUGGCCAAUAGCUCUGCCAUGAUUUUAGGUGGAUAUCUGUACCAUCUCUCCCUAUAAAGUCUGCACCAUUCUUAGUCUUUGCUGUUCUUAUUUAACUGUAUAGACAUCAGUGAUUCUGGAAACAACCGUCACAAAACUAAACGUUUCAUGAAGGAAUGGACAAAACUGAAUAACAUAUUCACAGCCAAAAAGUUGUAUCCAAUUCAACAUCAGAAAUUCAUUACAGAAUGAUGGAUAAGAUCUAGGUGGAUAAGAUGGGUAUUUGGACUAUGCAGCUAUUAUAAUGGUCUUGGAGAAAGAUGCCUGUAGUUGUCUUAUGCAAAGAGAGCUGAUGAAAUGCCUAGUUAAGACUUUUUUUUAAACUUAGAAUAAGGAACCAAUAGAAUCUUUUUGGGGAAAAAAAUCAAUUUCCUACCAAUAUGUCGGUAAUAACACCUGGAUAGGAUCAUGCAUACUUUCCGCAGUUUGCCAAACCUCAGUGACUAACACCCAAAAACUAACAAACAUCUUUCCAGAAAUAGUCCAAGCUGAUUUUGGUUUUUUUUACCAACACAAUAGAAAAGCUCCACUCUGAGUUAUCACAAGGCAGGAAAAAUUAAAACAGCUGACCUUUCAAAUUCUUCCAUCUUACAACCAACUUUUAUGUGUCUCAAUGCUUUAAUAAAGAAAAAGCCUGAAAGAAAAAAACUUCUCUGCAUGUGACAUUUUAGGCAAAAGGCUGAGUUCGAAUGAAGCUAGGGGAAAGGGAAGUAACCGCAAUCAUAUAAUUGAAAACUAGUUAAUCUUAUGCAGAGAUUAGUUCUACAGAAUUAUUCCUAACUUACUUCAAAAUUUGUGUUUCCUCCUUUCAUUCUGUCAGUUGCUUCCAUCUCAUAUACUUCCUUCGUCCUGGUUCGCCUGCUCAUUCCCAUCCGUGACGAUUGCACUAUGAAGUGUUUGGUUUCCCAAAACUGCACUUGUGUACUUUUUAACAUCAUGACAUCAAUAGUAAACAAUGAUUGCAAGCUCUUCAGGGGCAGCAGCCUGCACUUUCCUGUUACGUAAUACACUGUGUGCAUGUAUGGGCCUUACAUUCAAAGGAGCAAUAAUAAAGAUACAGACUGUUUUAUAA